rnacentral:lncRNA from 10 species
UUGUGAUGCGUCACAUAGUUCCUGGCAUGCCAUUGUCCUGAAUUCACCUACUAAUUUUACCCUCAGAGAAAGAGAGAGUCUUUGGAGAGUUGUGAGGAGAUAAGUGACAUAAACUGGCAUGUUCUGAAAGAAUCACUCUGGAUGCUGUGUGGAGAAAACACUGAAAAGAAUUCUAGAGUGAAAGUUUCAUGAAUAUAAGAAGCAAGACAAGGAAGUGGCUUAUGCUUAAGGCCUUAAAGGCAACCACUGUGACAAUCCAGCCAUUCUCUGGAGAAUUCAGCAGAAAGCCAGUUGGAAGGUUUGAAAUGGAAAUUACAAGCGCAAUAUUACAGAAGUGUGGAUUUUAGUUACAAUGUCUCUAUGAGAAAGUCUAAAAGUUAAACAUAAGCAAAACAACAAAAACAUCUAAAUACCAGGAAUUUGUUAUCUCGAUUAUGGAGGGCGACAAGUCCCACAGUCUGCCAUCUGCAGGAUGGAGAACCAGUCUUUAUAGGGGGAGAAUAAUUGACUCCAUUCAAGUGUUCGCUCCUGUUUCAAUCAACUAUGGCUGAAGAGUGAGGAGACAUUUGGAAUAAAUAUGGCUUCUGGGGGCCCAUUCCUAUGGAUCAGCAGCUGGCUUCUGGAGGCCCAUUCCUGUGAAUCGUCGAUCUCAUAGAAGAUAAUAUUGUUAGAAGGCUUACCUCAUUGAUGCUGAACAUCCUAAAAAGCUUCUGCUGCUUUGAGUCACUGAAAAAGACCAAGAAACAUGAAUUUAAAAAAAAAUUUCAAAUGUUAUAAAAUAAAUAAUAUGAACUCAUUAUACCUACAAUGAAUAAUUUAAAUUCUUCUUUGGUAGUCCAGGAAAGGCAAGGCAGGGAGGAUCCCUUG